GACGAACGCUGGCGGCGUGCUUAACACAUGCAAGUCGAACGGAAAGGCCCUGCUUUUGUGGGGUGCUCGAGUGGCGAACGGGUGAGUAACACGUGAGUAACCUGCCCUUGACUUUGGGAUAACUUCAGGAAACUGGGGCUACUACCGGAUAGGAGCUCCUGCUGCAUGGUGGGGGUUGGAACGUUUCGGCGGUUGGGGAUGGACUCGCGGCUUAUCAGCUUGUUGGUGGGGUAGUGGCUUACCAAGGCUUUGACGGGUAGCCGGCCUGAGAGGGUGACCGGCCACAAUGGGACUGAGAGACGGCCCAGACGGCUACGGGAGGCAGCGGUGGGGAAUAUUGCACAAUGGGCGGGAGCCUGAUGCAGCAACGCCGCGUGCGGGAUGACGGCCUGCGGGUUGUAAACCGCUGUCGCCUGUGACGAAGCGGGAGUGACGGUAAUGGGUAAAGAAGCACCGGCUAACUACGUG
rnacentral:rRNA from 1 species